rnacentral:rRNA from 1 species
AGCGAACGCUGGCGGCAGGCCUAACACAUGCAAGUCGAGCGCCCAGCAAUGGGAGCGGCAGACGGGAUAGUAACACGUGGGAACGUACCCUUCAGUUCGGAACAACCCAGGGAAACUUGAGCUAAUACCGGAUACGUCCGAGAGGAGAAAGAUUUAUCGCCGAGGGAUCGGCCCGCGUCUGAUUAGCUUGUUGGUGAGGUAACGGCUCACCAAGGCGACGAUCAGUAGCNGGUCUGAGAGGAUGAUCAGCCACAUUGGGACUGAGACACGGCCCAAACUCCUACGGGAGGCAGCAGUGGGGAAUAUUGGACAAUGGGCGCAAGCCUGAUCCAGCCAUGCCGCGUGAGUGAUGAAGG